rnacentral:rRNA from 1 species
AUUGAACGCUGGCGGCAGGCCUAACACAUGCAAGUCGAACGAGUGGCGGACGGGUGAGUAAUGUCUGGGAAACUGCCUGAUGGAGGGGGAUAACUACUGGCAACGGUAGCUAAUACCGCAUACCAUCGGAUGUGCCCAGAUGGGAUUAGCUAGUCGGUGGGGUCAAGGAUCACCUAGGCGACGAUCCCUAGCUGGUCUGAGAGGAUGACGAGCCACACUGGAACGGAGACACGGCCCAGACGCCUACGGGAGGCAGCAGUUGGGAAUAUUGGAGGAUGGGGGGAAGCCUGAUGCAGCCAGGCCGCAUGUAUGAAGAAGGCCUUCGGGUUGUAAAAUACUUUCAGCGGGGAGGCGUUACCCGCAGAAGAAGCACCGGCUAACUCCGUGCCAGCAGCCGCGGUAAUAC